UAUAAUGUAUUGCAGUAAUAUUUUGCUCUCCGUUGCUGCAUGGGCCAGGCAACCGUGUAAAUAUUGACUUAAACGGUUAAACUGUCCGUUUCGUUUGGGAAACGCGCAUAUUGUUUUGAUAAUAAUUUUGCAAACUAAAAGUUGCUUUCAGUUUUGCUGACACAGCCUCCUUUAACGGGCUUCAAACUUUUAUUUUGACAAACAGGUUGGGAAUACUUUGUAGUUGUUGUGGUUUUUGGUUUCCGGCUUCACCUUCGCCUGACUCCGUGUGUUUAGUCUAACAUUGUGUGUUAGUCCACGUUUAGUGUAGUGUUAUUAGGACAUGGACAGGAUGGCCUCCUCGUCCUGCGAGAAAGCUUCAGGCCCUAAAAAGAAAAGCGAGAAGAAAAUUGCAUCCAAGGAGGAAUAUAGAUUACUGUCUAAUAUAAUGGGAAUGAUGAAUAACUUGAGGAAGCAGGGGAUCUUGUGCGAUGUUAUACUGGUGGUACAGGGGAAACACAUCCUCGCACACAGAGUGGUCCUGGCUGCUGCGAGCCACUUCUUCAACCUCAUGUUUACCACCAACAUGAUGGAGGCCACAAACCAUGAGGUGGAGCUCGGAGGUGCAGAGCCUGAGAUUAUCGAGCUGCUGGUGGAAUUCGUCUACACGGCCCGCAUCUCUGUCAACAGCAACAACGUCCAGUCUCUGCUGAAUGCUGCUAACCAGUACCAGGUAGAGCCAGUAAAGAAAAUGUGUGUGGACUUUCUGAAAGAUCAAGUAGACGCAACUAACUGUCUUGGUAUCAGUGCGUUGGCCGAGUGCCUUCACUGUCCCGAGCUGAAGACUGCUGCGGACGAGUUUAUCUAUCAGCACUUUACAGAUGUGUACAAACUGGACGAGUUCCUGCAGCUGGACGUGAAGCAGGUCACACAUCUGCUUCACCAGGACACACUGACCGUCAGAGCCGAAGACCAGAUCUAUGACGCUGCCGUGCGGUGGUUGAAGUAUGACGUGUUGAAUCGGCAGAAGUACAUCGUGGACAUACUGAGCAAAGUGCGCUUCCCGCUCGUGUCCAAAAACUUCCUGAGUAAGACCGUGCAGGCUGAGCCUCUCAUCCAGGACAAUCCCGAGUGCCUCAAAAUGGUUAUCUGCGGAAUGCGUUACCAUCUCCUGUCUCCUGAGGACAGAGAGGAACUGGGUGAGAGCAGUCGUCCGCGCCGCAAGAAACAUGACUUCCGCAUCGCACUGUUCGGUGGCUCGCAGCCACAGUCCUGCCGCUACUUCAACCCCAAGGACUACAGCUGGACCGAUAUCCGCUGCCCCUUUGAGAAACGACGCGAUGCUGCUGCUGUUUUCUGGGACAACGUGGUGUACAUCCUUGGAGGAUCACAGCUUUUCCCCAUUAAACGAAUGGACUGUUACAAUGUGGUGAAGGACAGCUGGUAUUCCAAACUGGGGCCUCCGAACCCUAGAGACAGUCUGGCAGCCUGUGCAUCCAAGGGCAAGAUCUACACUUCAGGUGGCUCAGAAGUGGGGAGUUCUGCGUUGAACCUGUUUGAGUGCUAUGACACUCGGACAGAGACGUGGCAGAACAAACCCAGCAUGCUCCAGCCUCGCUGCAGCCACGGCUCGGUAGAGGCUAACGGCCUGAUCUACGUAUGUGGAGGUAGUCUGGGGAAUAACGUAUCCGGCAGAGUCCUCAACAACUGCGAAGUGUACGACCCCAACACAGAGGAAUGGAGAGUACUGUGCGGCAUGAGGGAGGCCAGGAAGAACCAUGGCCUGGUGGUGGUCAACUUGAGGAUCUAUGCUGUGGGUGGACAGAACGGCCUCGGUACUGUAUGUUUCCUUGACACAAACUCUAGUGGCUGGAAGAUUGGACAAAACUGAGACCUUAUGGGAAACUUAGGUUUGGUGCAAAGCUCUGUGGUGCAUUAUUACAAAACUUGGUUUGAUUUUAUCAGACACCUUGACAUGUAAACAUAAAAUAAAGACAAACAGAACGUAAGACACUCGCAAUGAGAGGAUGAAAUAUAAAGUCUAAAGAUUUAUUACCACUGUGUUCCUUGUCAAUGACAGUAACUGAUUAUAAACUAACUGAUAAUGGGCAUCACGCCACUCUUUCAUCGAUAAUGGCCGUUGAAAUUGUGUGAAAUCCCCUUAUCCACAGUAAACAAGAUGGAUGGGAAAGCCAACUCUCUCAUCCAAAAGUGUCUGGACUUGCCACGAUGCCUAUCUGAAACAGGUCUCUUUGGAAAGAACAUCUUACAGCUGCCACUGCAGUCCAUCAUCAUGGGCUACAAGCAGAAGAAGACCAGGCUAGUAUGGGGGUGAGGGAUUCCACUGACCAGGCAGAGUACAAAUGUCAAGAUCCACACGGGCCGCAAGUGGAAAGCCCAUGCUGAAGUUGAGCUGCCAAUUUGCAGGCUGCAAAACAAAGAGAUCAUCGGCAGAGUCCAGAUAGGAAGGACUCAUCUUGGGUGGGGAGAAGCUCCGCAGGUCUGGUCCAAGGCCAGCAGGAAAGAGAGGAAGGAACUGGUAGUGUCUGAGGUGACUGGUUGAGGAUGAGCACUAUAACAUCAAGGCAGUAGCACAGAGACAACCAGGGGACUGGACAACGUGGGAAGGCACUGUUGGCAGAAACAUCAGCAUAGCAGACCUGUGGAAAAUCCCUCAGACAAGGCUUAGUUUUCUUUUCAGGGCAACAUACAACACACUUCCUUGCACCAGUGGUUUGGCCAGGAAGAGUGCUGCCCCCACUGUAGCAGUCCAAAUGCACGUCUCCAGCACAUCUCUUCAGGCUGCAAGAUUGCGCUCUCCCAAGAGUGCUACAGGUGGUGACACGAUCAAGUCCUGAGCAGAUUGGCCGAGGUGUUGGAGGGGCAUAGAUGGGCCAUAAGCAGAGGUCAUCCUCCACCAGUAUGUCAGCACUUCCAAUUUGUCAGAGAAGGUGGGCAACACAAGCACCACGCCAAGAAUUCCCUCAAGGAUAGUUCCUUUCACCCAGGACUGGAGAAUAAGACUUGAUCCUGGCAGGAAGCUCCAGUUCCUUAGUGAGAUCACCAACACAAGUCUCCGCCCUGAUAUAGUGAUGUGGUCCAGUGGCACCAAGACCAUGCUCCUCAUCAAGCUAACUGUCCCAUGGGAGGAAAGAAUAGAAUAUGCCUUUGAGAGGAAGAGGCUGAAGUACUCUGAUCUCGUCGCUGAGUGUAAGGAGGCUGGCUGGAGAACCGAUCAUCUACCCAGUAAAAGUAGGAUGCCGUGGCUUUGUUGGAACAUCAACUGUUCGCCUCCUGAGGGAUAUGGGAGUAACUGGAGCAAACCAGCGGAAGGACCUAAAAAACGUGGCUGAAGAGGCUCUGGAUGCAGAGAAAGGAGAAGUGUUGGGGUAGUAGUUGCAGAGGGUGGCAGGGAGAUGGCCCUGCCACUGCUCCGCCACCAGUAGACGUUCUGCAGUUAAAGGAGCGAAAUGUUGUUGAGCGGUGGUACCCAGCUGACGACCCUGCAGCUGACCUAUGCCAUAUGGAUCCAGUGGCACUGAGCAUGCAUUAACGGUGCCAGUGGGGGUUGUCACAGCUUAAUCACUGGGAAGGUGGUCUGGAUUCAGUGGAGUAUUAUGAAAUAGGCAGUAAUGAGUGGAAAAUGGCGUCACCGAUGCCGUGGAGAGGCGUGACGGUGAAGUGUGCAGCCGUGGGCUCGGUCA